UACGGGGGGGGGUAAGCGUUGUUCGGAAUUACUGGGCGUAAAGGGCUCGUAGGCGGCCAACUAAGUCAGACGUGAAAUCCCUCAGCUUAACUGGGGAACUGCGUCUGAUACUGGAUGGCUUGGAUUUGGGGAGAGGGAUGCGGAAUUCCAGGUGUAGCGGUGAAAUGCGUAGAUAUCUGGAGGAACACCGGUGGCGAAGGCGGCAUCCUGGACCAAUAUUGACGCUGAGGAGCGAAAGCCAGGGGAGCAAACGGGG
rnacentral:rRNA from 1 species